GGAUAGCUCAGCUGGUUAGAGCGUGGAACUGAUAAUGCCAAGGUUGCAAGUUUGAUCCUCGUAUGGGGCAACU
rnacentral:tRNA from 1 species